UACAGAGGUCUCAAGCGUUGUUCGGAUUCAUUGGGCGUAAAGGGUGCGUAGGCGGCGCGGUAAGUCGGGGUGUGAAAAUUUCGGAGCUUAACUCCGAAACUGCAUUCGAUACUGCCGUGCUUGAGGACUGGAGAGGAGACUGGAAUUUACGGUGUAGCAGUGAAAAUGCGUAGAGAUCGUAAGGAAGACCGUGGCGAAGGCGGGUCUCUGGACAGU
rnacentral:rRNA from 1 species